rnacentral:rRNA from 1 species
GAUGAACGCUGGCGGCGUGCCUAAUACAUGCAAGUCGAGCGAACGGACGAGAAGCUUGCUUCUCUGAUGUUAGCGGCGGACGGGUGAGUAACACGUGGAUAACCUACCUAUAAGACUGGGAUAACUUCGGGAAACCGGAGCUAAUACCGGAUAAUAUUUUGAACCGCAUGGUUCAAAAGUGAAAGACGGUCUUGCUGUCACUUAUAGAUGGAUCCGCGCUGCAUUAGCUAGUUGGUAAGGUAACGGCUUACCAAGGCAACGAUGCAUAGCCGACCUGAGAGGGGGAUCGGCCACACUGGAACUGAGACACGGUCCAGACUCCUACGGGAGGCAGCAGUAGGGAAUCUUCCGCAAUGGGCGAAAGCCUUGCGGAGCAACGCCGCGUGAGUGAUGAAGGUCUUCGGAUCGUAAAACUCUGUUAUUAGGGAAGAACAUAUGUGUAAGUAACUGUGCACAUCUUGACGGUACCUAAUCAGAAAGCCACGGCUAACUACGUG